AUAGCUUCUUGACCUUUUAGCUAAGAUCAUGUGUAAUAUCUGUUCUUAUGCAUUUAAUACCACUUAUUGAGGCCAUAAUGUGGGCCAGUUAUUGCUAGGCAACUUACAUACUGUAAUUUAUAAACAAUUGCAAUACAAAAAGUUGCUGUUCCUACUUUAUCAAGAGGAAACUGAAACUUUG
ensembl:snRNA U2 U2 spliceosomal RNA